GGAGGAAAAAUCAGCAGUACCCCAGCAGUGACAACACAGCCGACAACUACAACUAUCACGGACAACACGUAUACCACCUCAGUCCGAACCGCGGAAUCUGUAUAAAACGAUGGAAGCAAGUUUUCUGAUCGAGUAAUAUACGAACCUUUCAGAAGCGGAAACUGGCCAACUCCUCUGUACAUUAAAUUUCUUAAUUUCAUUACACGAACACUCGAUCGAUAUUCAAGUUUCAAGAAACAAAUUACUUACCAACAAAUUAUUUAGAUGACACAAGUAACGGCAUACUGUAAGGUAAAUUUCAAGAACAUGCAGUUUCAUAGAUGUGUGUAAUUUCGAACGAGAUGAAAGCGAGAAGCUGCGGAGCAAACACGACAUCUUGAAAACUGGUUUUAACCCUAAAGACCGCGGCUCGUUUAAGAAUGUCACGAUUUUAUUAAACGCCGCCGUGUCGAACGAAAGACAACUUGUCCGAUCGCGGCCUGGCCGCCUGUUUGUAACGUCCAUUGCUUCUACGUACUUACUUUUCAAUUUAUGCGAUUGAUCAAUGUGACUUCUGAAACGCUCGAUUGCCACGUAUGAUACGCUUUCUCGAGAGUGGGGUAAAAAUCGGUCUGUUUGAUUUGAUAAAAGCUUGGAAGCGUAGUUUGUAGACGGACGUGAAGGGUCCGUGGUAAUUGGCGAUCGUUGGUGAUCGUUGGUGAUCGUCGGGACACGUGGCAAAGCACGAGACCGACGGAAUGUGAACUGUUGGAUGUGGCUACUAGCGACAAAGACGUCCUGAACUCUAUCUCGACGACAUUCCACUGCGUGAAUCGCUUACUGAUUGUCUACUGUGUCGAGAGGCGAUGAGUUGGAUCGCGCGAGGUUUGUUUCGCCAGAUUAUGAACGAAAAGGCCGUGUAUACGAUGGAUGCGUAUUCGGGCGAGCUAACCGGUCUGGCGAAUGAAACAUCCGAAGACUGCAAUGCUGACCGUCCGUUUAUGACUGGGACAGCGCACCUGCCUUUUUUGGAAAAAUCCGAAUUUCCUACCUCUCAAGUAAACUUUACGCUGCGGACCUCAUCAAGAGGUUAAUUAACAGCCUAAGGGCUCCUUGAGUCCGUUCUAAAAUACACAUCUGGUAUCAAUCUGCACCAUCAGAGGAUAUGCGCCCACGAGGGUACAGAGUUACAAGACUGGAAGGAAUAAUUUCCAUCCCAUAAAAAACACGGUAAGAAGGAAAACCCAGGGACCGAGAGUUAGUACAUAAGGAUCAAGCGAAGCUUCUUGAGAAGUCUUAAAACGAUCUUCGUCACAGCGUCAUACUGUUCGUGUUACUAAAGCAGUGCAGCUAAAUUAACUAAACAUAACAUUAUUCUGCAUCUAAACUUGCUGGCGAUUCUUUUGGUGUAUACUAAAGAGUGGAAAUAAAUAAACUAAACAUACUA